rnacentral:rRNA from 1 species
CACGUAGUUAGCCGGGGCUUCUUAGUCAGGUACCGUCAUUAUCUUCCCUGCUGAUAGAGCUUUACAUACCGAAAUACUUCUUCACUCACGCGGCGUCGCUGUAUCAGGGUUUCCCCCAUUGUGCAAUAUUCCCCACUGCUGCCUCCCGUAGGAGUCUGGGCCGUGUCUCAGUCCCAAUGUGGCCGUUCACUCUCUCAGGCCGGCUACUGAUCGUCGCCUUGGUAGGCCGUUACCCCACAACAAGCUAAUCAGACGCGGGUCCAUCUCACAGCGAUAAAUCUUUGAAAGGAUCGUCAUGCGGCAAUCCCUUGUUAUGCGGUAUUAGCAGCCGUUUCCGGCUGUUGUCCCCCUCUGUGAGGCAGGUUACCCACGCGUUACUCACCCGUCCGCCACUCAGUCAUUACCAUCUUCCCUCGAAAAGUUCCGUCGGUAGCGCUUCGUUCGACUUGCAUGUGUUAAGCACGCCGCCAGCGUUCAUCCUGAGCCAGGAUCAACUCU